rfam:Myotis brandtii contig222097, whole genome shotgun sequence.
GGGUUCUCAAGUGACACACCCUGGAAUCAGGCUCCCUCCUCUCUGGUUCCAGGUGCGUCACCUGAAAAACCA